AAAAUAUAUGGCUUUUCGUUAAGUUUUCUAUCACUCUUGUGUUAUUUAAUUGUGUGGUUGAGAUUUGGUUGAGUAAGAGAUAUUUAAGACCAUGAAUGUACUGAAAUUGCUAGCUGUCCAUGUGCUACAGAAAUUCUGAAAUUAUGUUCUGUUUUGGAAGCCUAAACCAGUCCACUUUACUCUUGCUCAACUUCACUCCUUUUUGUUUAACCAAAGAUAAACCUUAGUAUGAAAAACCCUUGAAGAACAAGUGACAAAAAACCAACCUCUUGUAAGCAUUGCCUUUUGUUAGGUUUACUUCCACAUGAUGUUACAAAGUUGUCAAAGUACCCUUUUGAUAAAAUUUCCAGAUUUGGGUGGUACCUCCUUGUUCCCUACCAUACUUGAAUAAAUCUCUACCAUCCUAUACAUUCUAACUCAUGAUUCCUACAUAUUCCUUGUAUAGAAAAUGGUAGCCUUUAAAGAGGGACAGCAAGCAAGCUUCAUGAUUUCAUGGGUUCUUAAAUAUUAGAAUGAGGAUACUAAUGGUUGAAUUAGUGCCAAGUAUGUAGCUAAAAGGGGUUAAGGGAAACGCUUUAAUUCCAACUUGAAAGUUUAGUGAGCACGUAGGGGUGACGGAUAGUAAGCUUAAGGUAGAAUGAAUAAUAAUAUGUUUAUUCCAUUUCAUUGAUAGAAGUUUAUUUUCAAGAUUUAAGGACCCUACUUGUAAAGCAACGAGGUAUGAAUGAUGAGACUGUGGAGCUAGGCACUGAUGAGGAGGGAGGGGCCGAUGCUUAGAGUUCCCUGUCGGUUCGGUUUUGAUGAUAAUGGUUAUGUUUUUAUGCCUUUAUGAUGGGUCUCAUGUUGGGACGUUUUGUUGGCUUGACUUUAAGACAAUAUGUCUUUGGGCAUGAUGUAAAUACUAUGGUGGGGUGAUGGUAAUGGUAUAACUUCUAUGGUGGGGUGAUGGUAACCCCACAUAAGAAGGUUAAAUGCCUUUUUGUAUGUGUUGUAGGGACUAAGUUCCCUCUUGUCUAGAACUAGUUAUGUUUGAUGAAUGGAUGAUGGACUCUGAGAGUCCUUUAUUUAGAA